rnacentral:misc_RNA from 1 species
AAUAAUUUCUUAAAAUUUAAAUAACAUUAAAAUACCAAUAUUACUCAUCAAAUAAUAAAUUAAAAAUUUUUGGGGUGUUACAUAAUCCAUCAUUUUUAUCGUUGCCCUCCAUCCCAUCUAAUGGAAGGAUUUUAACGAAAUUAAUAAAUUGCCACCUCUACAAUUUUUAUAUUGCAAUUGCAUAAUUUUUUUUUUAUUUCAAAAAAAUUAAUUACAUCUUUUGAUAAAUAUAUUAGUUAAAUUUUGUAUUUUUAUUUUGUUUCAUUUAAUUUUUAAUUCAAUUCCUAUAAUUUUAAAACAUAA